rnacentral:tRNA from 1 species
GGGGAUUUAGCUCAGCGGCAUAAGCGCCUGCCUUGCAAGCAGGCAGUUGUGAGCUCAAUCCCUG